rnacentral:lncRNA from 1 species
AAAUUCUUCAGAAACUAAACCUAAAGAACCCUAGAAGCCUCCCUGAUUCCCAUCAUCUCAGGCUGGCCGUGCCGGUCUCCAUCGACACCAAAUAAACACCCCAAAUUUCGAUGACCCCUCAUACUCAAUCCACACCCCUUUUUCCUCAAGUAUGUCCCAGACAUUUCGAAUCUUAAAUCUAGUUCACGCCCUAAAAUUCCAAACAAAUUCAAAUUCGAGAAUAAUGAGGUUUGGGUCUAGUUUGAAAUUAUUCAUGUAUUCUUGAUAUGAACACAUGAUUAAUGUAAAACUUGCCCGGGAAAUUUUGAAGAUUCGAAGUUUUUCUUUUAUUUCUUGCGGUCCAGGCUAUUUUGAGGUAUUUUUUCUUUAACUUCUGAGUUUUAAUUUUCAUGUGAAUUUCUUUACCAUAUUCUUCUGUUUCUUUUGUGUAUGAUUUGAUUUUUUUUUCUUCUCUGUUUCUCCAUUACUUCAUUCCUUUUGCAUGUUUUUCCUUUUAAGUUAGUUAGUGUUUCUGUGAUUGAAUAUUAGUUUAUUUGGCUUGUCCUUUCUAUUUGGGCCUUUAAGCUUUUAGGUCAAAGAGUAUGUUGACUCCGUCUGGUCCCCUUCCUCCCCUUUUCUUUGAAUAUUUCUGUGAAAAGCCCGAGUCAAAUUUGGGAUAAAAUGAAAAGGUUUAGCCUAGAAUUUGUAGACUCAGACCCACUAAAUGUAUUUGGGUCAACUUGACCCAUGUUGUGGUCAGGUUUUAUGAAGUAAAAACAGAGUGCCUACGGAGUAAAUUGGGGAAUCUCGGUAGGGAAAUCUCCGAAUAACUGAUUAGCAAGCUUCCCAAAAGCUGUCAAGGGGACCUAAAUAUAAACCUGAUUUUUACACUAAGGGUACUUAAGCUAAAAUGAAAAUAUCGAAAGGAUUAGAGUGCAUAACUAGUUACAUUUUUGCAGCCCUAAUGCCUUCCCUAUAAAGGCACCUUUGCUUGACGUACGAGUAAAAAAUAAAGAGAUAAAAAAAUUAGGAAAAAAACUGAAACAAAUAAAAAGAAAAGAUAUUGAGAGGGUCUGAAUAAUCAGAACAUACAAAGAGAAAUUAGAAAACCACUAUUACAUUGAAGUUUUUCCUGCUAUUCUUGGGGUUUUCAAGUUAUUGAAGUAAAUCUGGGGUUCAUUUUAGGUUUGAAAUGGUUUGAAGAAGCUGGAUUUGCUAUUGUUGAGCUGCUAAAAUACAUUUGCUUCUACUGCUGAUCAUGUUACACUUUCUUUUGCUCAAAUUGCAUCGGGUAUGCCCUUGAAACUGUGAUGGAACUGAAGCCUGACUGAAUCUGUGUAAAGAUCUGUGAACUUGAGUUGGAAAUAAAAUGGAAAUACUAGUUCUGGCUGUAAUUUCUGCUAGAUUCUGCUAUCUUAGGUUAUUAAAUUCGCAAAGUUCUGUAGUAAUUUAGUUUUCUUGUAUGUGUUGGUUUGUUUAUUCAUGUUAGUGGCUUAAGACUGUGUUGGUAAGUUAGAAUAGGUGUUUAAAUUCAGAAUGUUGACACUGUAAUAAUGAUUGAAAUCUAUUGUAUGAGGGGACUGUUAGACAUGUUGUAGUGGAAGACUGUUUGUGUGUGUCAAUUUAGUGCUCCUAUAGUUUGAAAUCAGAAUUUGUCAUGUUAAAGUGUUGUCCAGGGUCCUAGUUGCAAUUUGGAAACCUUUGUAGUAUCUUAGUUUGUUGAAACUGCCAUUUGAAUGGUUUAAGUGAAUUUAAAUUUCCUUUGUUUGUUUGUGGGAUUAGUUUAGAAAUUAACUGCAAGCAUGAACCUCUGUUAUUUGUUAUCAAUGUAAUUGAAGAUAGGAAUGAUUGGUGAGCUAAUAGCUUGUUGAGGCUUCUGUGUUGGGUAAGACUCGAUAUUGAGUCAUGAUUCCCAAUUUUUUUGGCUUUGCAAGUCUCGAUAUUGAGCUAAUAGCUUGUAUUGUUGUUGCUGGAUAUGUCACAUAGCAGACCUAAUUCAAAUGCGUGCUGAAAAUAAAAUUAGAACUUUAGUUUAAUUAAUUUGUGUCAAUUGUUUUAAAUUAUAGUUUAAACAUGCUAAUUCGUCUUCAUAUUCCAUGUUGGCAUCAGUUCAUUGGCAUUCUUUGAUUGGCAUAAUAUUUGGAGCAUAGAAACUGGGCCUAACGCAGGCCCAUCUGAAGAAUAAGCGUAAUAAGACGCCUGGGUGCCUUUACUCAUCAUAAACUUGGGCUCAUCUUCAGCUCAAAGCUUGAAGGCAUUUUUCAAAAAGGGUUUAUUCGGUUGUUAUUGUC